GGGGGUGUGGCUCAGUUGGUAGAGCGUUCGCUUAGCAGCUUCUCUAGUCUGCGAAAGGUCCUGAGUUCGAUUCUUAGCUCCUCCA